UUAAGCGACUAAGCGUACACGGUGGAUGCCCUGGCAGUCAGAGGCGAUGAAGGACGUGCUAAUCUGCGAAAAGCGUCGGUAAGGUGAUAUGAACCGUUACAGCCGGCGAUGUCCGAAUGGGGAAACCCAGUGCAAUUCGUUGCACUAUCGUUAACUGAAUACAUAGGUUAACGAGGCGAACCGGGGGAACUGAAACAUCUAAGUACCCCGAGGAAAAGAAAUCAACCGAGAUUCCCCCAGUAGCGGCGAGCGAACGGGGAGCAGCCCAGAGUCUGAAUCAGCUUGUGUGUUAGUGGAACGGUCUGGAAAGUCCGACGGUACAGGGUGAUAGUCCCGUACACCAAAAUGCACAGGUUGUGAACUCGAAGAGUAGGGCGGGACACGUGGUAUCCUGUCUGAAUAUGGGGGGACCAUCCUCCAAGGCUAAAUACUCCUGACUGACCGAUAGUGAACCAGUACCGUGAGGGAAAGGCGAAAAGAACCCCGGCGAGGGGAGUGAAAAAGAACCUGAAACCGUGUACGUACAAGCAGUGGGAGCACCUUCGUGGUGUGACUGCGUACCUUUUGUAUAAUGGGUCAGCGACUUAUAUUCUGUAGCAAGGUUAACCGUAUAGGGGAGCCGCAGGGAAACCGAGUCUUAACUGGGCGUUAAGUUGCAGGGUAUAGACCCGAAACCCGGUGAUCUAGCCAUGGGCAGGUUGAAGGUUGGGUAACACUAACUGGAGGACCGAACCGACUAAUGUUGAAAAAUUAGCGGAUGACUUGUGGCUGGGGGUGAAAGGCCAAUCAAACCGGGAGAUAGCUGGUUCUCCCCGAAAGCUAUUUAGGUAGCGCCUCGUGAACUCAUCUUCGGGGGUAGAGCACUGUUUCGGCUAGGGGGUCAUCCCGACUUACCAACCCGAUGCAAACUACGAAUACCGAAGAAUGUUAUCACGGGAGACACACGGCGGGUGCUAACGUCCGUCGUGAAGAGGGAAACAACCCAGACCGCCAGCUAAGGUCCCAAAGUCAUGGUUAAGUGGGAAACGAUGUGGGAAGGCACAGACAGCCAGGAUGUUGGCUUAGAAGCAGCCAUCAUUUAAAGAAAGCGUAAUAGCUCACUGGUCGAGUCGGCCUGCGCGGAAGAUGUAACGGGGCUAAACCAUGCACCGAAGCUGCGGCAGCGACACUAUGUGUUGUUGGGUAGGGGAGCGUUCUGUAAGCCUGCGAAGGUGACCUGUGAGGGUUGCUGGAGGUAUCAGAAGUGCGAAUGCUGACAUAAGUAACGAUAAAGCGGGUGAAAAGCCCGCUCGCCGGAAGACCAAGGGUUCCUGUCCAACGUUAAUCGGGGCAGGGUGAGUCGACCCCUAAGGCGAGGCCGAAAGGCGUAGUCGAUGGGAAACAGGUUAAUAUUCCUGUACUUGGUGUUACUGCGAAGGGGGGACGGAGAAGGCUAUGUUAGCCGGGCGACGGUUGUCCCGGUUUAAGCAUGUAGGCUGGUUAUCCAGGCAAAUCCGGAUAAUCAAGGCUGAGGUGUGAUGACGAGGCACUACGGUGCUGAAGUAACAAAUGCCCUGCUUCCAGGAAAAGCCUCUAAGCAUCAGGUAACAUCAAAUCGUACCCCAAACCGACACAGGUGGUCAGGUAGAGAAUACCAAGGCGCUUGAGAGAACUCGGGUGAAGGAACUAGGCAAAAUGGUGCCGUAACUUCGGGAGAAGGCACGCUGGUGUGUAGGUGAAGCCCCUGCGGGUGGAGCUGAGACCAGUCGAAGAUACCAGCUGGCUGCAACUGUUUAUUAAAAACACAGCACUGUGCAAACACGAAAGUGGACGUAUACGGUGUGACGCCUGCCCGGUGCCGGAAGGUUAAUUGAUGGGGUUAGCGGUAACGCGAAGCUCUUGAUCGAAGCCCCGGUAAACGGCGGCCGUAACUAUAACGGUCCUAAGGUAGCGAAAUUCCUUGUCGGGUAAGUUCCGACC
rnacentral:rRNA from 1 species